AGCAACCUGAGAGUUUGUACAAGAGUACAGCCUGGGAAUGGGGUGGGGUGGGGGUACAGUUUAAGAAUAAGAGGACACAACCUGAGAGUAGGGGGAACUGCAGCCUGACAGUGGGACUUGCAACCUGAUGAAUUACAGAAACAAAACAAAUCAACAAGAAGACACAUAUCCCUGAACAUUUGCUGCAACAAGGUCAUCUGUACUCUGAAGGAGGUGGUCAGCCAGGACUGGAAUGAUGUCACAACAAGCUCUGAGAGAGUUUAG
ensembl:lincRNA